rnacentral:rRNA from 1 species
UACAGAGGUGGCAAGCGUUGUUCGGAAUCACUGGGCAUAAAGAGCACGUAGGCGGCGAUGUAUGUCGGGUGUGAAAUCCCUCGGCCCAACCGAGGAAUUGCGCCCGAAACUACAUUGCUUGAGGAUGGAAGGGGAGCGUGGAAUUCCUGGUGGAGCGGUGAAAUGCGUUGAUAUCAGGAGGAACACCGGCGGCGAAGGCGACGCUCUGGUCCAUUUCUGACGCUGAGGUGCGAAAGCCAGGGGAGCAAACGGG